GAAUGCUGACAUAAGUAACGAUAAAGCGGGUGAAAAGCCCGCUCGCCGGAAGACCAAGGGUUCCUGUCCAACGUUAAUCGGGGCAGGGUGAGUCGACCCCUAAGGCGAGGCCGAAAGGCGUAGUCGAUGGGAAACGGGUUAAUAUUCCCGUACUUGGUGUUACUGCGAAGGGGGGACGGAGAAGGCUAUGUUGGCCGGGCGACGGUUGUCCCGGUUUAAGCGUGUAGGUGUGUGUUCCAGGUAAAUCCGGUUCACUUUAACACUGAGGCGUGACGACGAGGCACUACGGUGCUGAAGCAACAAAUGCCCUGCUUCCAGGAAAAGCCUCUAAGCAUCAGGUAACACGAAAUCGUACCCCAAACCGACACAGGUGGUCAGGUAGAGAAUACCAAGGCGCUUGAGAGAACUCGGGUGAAGGAACUAGGCAAAAUGGUGCCGUAACUUCGGGAGAAGGCACGCUGACACGU
rnacentral:rRNA from 1 species